rnacentral:rRNA from 1 species
AAUCAACGCUGGCGGCGUGCCUAACACAUGCAAGUCGAACGGGGAUCGUCAGUGUAGCAAUACAUCGGCGGUUCUAGUGGCGCACGGGUGAGUAACACGUGGGUAACCUGCCCUUGAGUUCGGGAUACCCUUUCGAAAGGAAGGCUAAUACCGGAUACGUUCCUCGGAUUGCCAAAUCUGGGGAGGAAAGGUGGCGCAAGCUGCCGCUCUUGGAGGGGCUCGCGGCCUAUCAGCUAGUUGGUGAGGUAACGGCUCACCAAGGCUAUGACGGGUAGCUGGUCUGAGAGGACGACCAGCCACACGGGAACUGAGACACGGUCCCGACUCCUACGGGAGGCAGCAGUGGGGAAUUUUCCGCAAUGGGCGAAAGCCUGACGCAGCAACGCCGCGUGAAGGAUGAAAUCCCUCGGGAUGUAAACUUCGCAAGUAUGGGAAGAAAUAAAUGACGGUACCAUACGUAA